AGUACGAGAGGACCGGAAUGGACGCACCGCUGGUGCACCAGUUGUCGUGCCAACGGCAUGGCUGGGUAGCUAAGUGCGGAAGGGAUAAACGCUGAAGGCAUCUAAGCGUGAAGCCCACCCCGAGAUAAGAUAUCCCAUACCGAAAGGUAGUAAGGCCCCAUAAAGACUAUGUGGUUGAUAGGUCGGAGGUGUAAGUGCAGUAAUGUAUUAAGCUGACCGAUACUAAUAGGCCGAGGGCUUGUCCAA
rnacentral:rRNA from 1 species